AACUAGACUUCAAUUCCUCCCUCGCUCUAUAUAAACUAUCUAGCACAACUUAAGCUAAUUAAUUAAGUUAAGCUAAGUAAGCAACAUCGUACUUAACAACUCAACCCUAAGCUAAUCAACCAUACCAAUUAUCCAAUAUCAAGCUAGAGCAAACUUCUACGAUGGCCGUGCCAACAUGCAAGCUUUUCGUUCUCGUCGUGCUCAUCUUCCUUUGCCUCAUUUUAGCUCCUCGUACAGAUGCAAGUAGGAACGUGCCAAUAAAAAAUGAAGGAACAACUCCAAUGAACAAGAACAUUAACAAGCAUGAUGUUCCAAGUACGACAUUUGCUAACGUUGAUGAUAACGUAGAAGGAUAUAAUGAAGGUGAUCUAACGAUGAUGGAUUACACCCCGUCAAAAGGAAGUCUCCAAUUCACUAUUGAUAUACACAUAUAAAUUAAAGAUCUACUACAAAUUACAAGCGGGUUUAAUACAUGGAAAUUGAUAAUUAUUAGUCGCUUGUUUAGUAAAAAUUAUGAAGCAUGCAUUGAUGAUCAUCAUUAUCACCUAGUAGGUCGAGUGCUCUAUUAUAUAUAUAUAUAUAUAUAUAUAUAUAUAUACAUACUCGUGCGUGUUGGUCGUAUGUAUGUUGUAUGUUCCUCUAUUAGUUGAAAGGGUAUAAAAAGGUAUGUACGGGAUAUAUGUGGAACUCGUACGAGUGCUUUACGUAUACAUAUAAGUGUAAGGAAAAGUUACGUUAGACUACCCUACUCACGAGCUGAGAGUGAUGCCUAAGGAGUUGAACGUAGCAUGGAAAAUGGAAUUAUGUAUUACGCCUGUAUUUUAAAAUAAAGAAGUAAAUCUUAUUUAGCAAUCGACUUUUGAAGGUCUAUUUUGGUUGA